rnacentral:misc_RNA from 1 species
AUUCCGUAGGUGAACCUGCGGAAGGAUCAUUCAUAAUAAAGUGUUUUAUGGCACUUUUUAAAAAUCCAUAUCCACCCUGUGUGCAAUGUUAGAUCUCGUCAAUCUUGGCGAGAUUUUUAUACAUCAACUCAUUCUUUAACUAAUUUGUCUGAAAAAUAUUAUGAAUACUUAAUUCAAAAUACAACUUUCAACAACGGAUCUCUUGGCUCUC